UCAUCAUCAUCACCAAUUUCAUAAUUUCAUCUCAAUUCCUUUAUUAUAUUUUUUGUUAGAGCUGAGUUCUAGAUAGUUUACCUUAUGGGAAAAAGAUUUACAUGAAAUGAAGAAUUUAGGAUUUAAGUUAUUUUUGUUAUGAUCAUGAAAAUUGAAAUUAAUACAUGUUCUAGUUAUUGUUUACAUACUUGUGAUUUUCCAUGUUAUUGGACGUUGAUAGUGUGUUGUUGCUAUUGAUGAAUAAUGAUUAUCUGAGAUGUGGUUUUUA
rnacentral:lncRNA from 1 species